rnacentral:rRNA from 1 species
AAUUCCAGCUCCAAUAGCGUAUACUAAAGUUGUUGCGGUUAAAAAGCUCGUAGUUGGAUCUUGGAAUGUGUUCAAGCGGGUCAGCUUCUGGCUGUUCGCUGCUUGACGUGUUCUUCUAUUUGGUUUUGGUGCGGUGCGCUUAACUGCGUGUCGCUCCCGGCCGAAACGUUUACCUUGAAAAAAUUAGAGUGUUCAAAGCAGACCUGUUUGAGUCUGAAUAUUCGUGCAUGGAAUAAUGAAAUAUGAAUUCGGUUCUAUUUUGUUGGUUUUCGGAACUCGAGUUAAUGAUCAAGAGGGACAGACGGGGGCAUUCGUACUCUGCCGUUAGAGGUGAAAUUCUUGGAUCGGCGGAAGACGCGCAACUGCGAAAGCAUUUACCAAGAAUGUUUUCAUCG